rnacentral:siRNA from 1 species
CAACCAAUCACCCACAAAACUCCA